AUGGCCAUAUUUAUUCAGCUACGGUGAGCGCGGAGCAUUGCGCUACCAACCAGGAUUGUCACAACAGCACCGUUACAGUAUGUGCCUCUACUCACCAUGAGAUCUGUAAGAGCCACCAGUGCGAAUGUGAACCGAACCCUACAUGUACCGCUCCAGCCGACUGCCCGGCCCAUCAUUGCAACCACAAUGGACGCCAAUGGACAUGCGAGGCGGGUACUUGCCACUGUCACCGCGUACAAUGAGUUUUGAAAGACAUGUGUGUAUAAUAAAUACAUAUACACAUAAAACGUUA